rnacentral:rRNA from 11 species
ACCUGGUUGAUCCUGCCAGUAGUCAUAUGCUUGUCUCAAAGAUUAAGCCAUGCAUGUCUAAGUAUAAGCGAGUAUACUGUGAAACUGCGAAUGGCUCAUUAAAUCAGUUAUAGUUUAUUUGAUAGUACUUACUACUUGGAUAACCGUGGUAAUUCUAGAGCUAAUACAUGCGAAAAGGCCCGACUGUUUGGGAGGGUUGUAUUUAUUAGAUAAAAAACCAACAUUUUUCUUGGUGAAUCAUAAUAACUUGGCGAAUCGCAUGGUCUUGUGCCGGCGAUGAAUCAUUCAAAUUUCUGCCCUAUCAACUUUCGAUGGUAAGGUAGUGGC